CCUACGGGGGGCAGCAGUGGGGAAUAUUGGACAAUGGGCGAAAGCCUGAUCCAGCCAUGCCGCGUGUGUGAAGAAGGUCUUCGGAUUGUAAAGCACUUUAAGUUGGGAGGAAGGGCAGUUACCUAAUACGUAAUUGUUUUGACGUUACCGACAGAAUAAGCACCGGCUAACUCUGUGCCAGCAGCCGCGGUGG
rnacentral:rRNA from 1 species